UGGGGAAUAUUGGACAAUGGGGGGAACCCUGAUCCAGCCAUGCCGCGUGUGUGUAGAAGGCCUUAUGGUUGUAAAGCACUUUAAGCGAGGAGGAGGGUACUGGUAUUAAUACUACCAGGUACUGGACGUUACUCGCAGAAUAAGCACCGGCUAACUCUGUGCCAGCAGCCGCGGUAAUACAGAGGGUGCGAGCGUUAAUCGGAUUUACUGGGCGUAAAGCGUGCGUAGGCGGCUAAUUGAGUCGGAUGUGAAAUCCCCGAGCUUAACUUGGGAAUUGCAUUCGAUACUGGUUAGCUAGAGUGUGGGAGAGGAUGGUAGAAUUCCAGGUGUAGCGGUGAAAUGCGUAGAGAUCUGGAGGAAUACAGAUGGCGAAGGCAGCCAUCUGGCCUAACACUGACGCUGAGGUACGAAAGCAUGGGGAGCAAACAGG
rnacentral:rRNA from 1 species